UACGAAGGGGGCUAGCGUUGUUCGGAAUUACUGGGCGUAAAGCGUGCGCAGGCGGUUUUGUAAGCCAGAUGUGAAAUCCCCGGGCUUAACCUGGGAAUGGCGUUUGGGACUGGGUCGCUAGAGUGUGGCAGAGGGAGGUGGAAUUCCACGUGUAGCAGUGAAAUGCGUAGAGAUGUGGAGGAACACCGAUGGCGAAGGCAGCCUCCUGGGCCAGCACUGACGCUCAUGCACGAAAGCGUGGGGAGCAAACGGG
rnacentral:rRNA from 1 species